rnacentral:rRNA from 1 species
GUGGGGAAUCUUCCGCAAUGGACGAAAGUCUGACGGAGCAACGCCGCGUGAGUGAUGAAGGUCUUCGGAUUGUAAAGCUCUGUUAAUCGGGACGAAAGAGCCUAGUGUGAAUAAUGCUAGGAAGUGACGGUACCGGAAUAGAAAGCCACGGCUAACUACGUGCCAGCAGCCGCGGUAAUACGUAGGUGGCAAGCGUUGUCCGGAAUUAUUGGGCGUAAAGCGCGCGCAGGCGGAUCUGCCAGUCUGUCUUAAAAGUUCGGGGCUUAACCCCGUGAGGGGAUGGAAACUACAGAUCUAGAGUAUCGGAGAGGAAAGUGGAAUUCCUAGUGUAGCGGUGAAAUGCGUAGAUAUUAGGAAGAACACCAGUGGCGAAGGCGACUUUCUGGACGAAAACUGACGCUGAGGCGCGAAAGCCAGGGGAGCGAACGGGAUUAGAAACCCGAGUAGUCC